UCGGGCUCCUAUCGAAGCCGUUCCUGCUGUUGUGUCGCAGUGAAUGGUCAAAGGGAAGCCGAGAUUAAAGCUUCCACCGACGGUCGCUGUUCAGGUUAAAAGUAGCUGAUCCAGCAACAUUUUUGGGGAAGGACAUUG